rnacentral:rRNA from 1 species
AUACAGAGGGUGCAAGCGUUAAUCGGAAUUACUGGGCGUAAAGCGCGCGUAGGCGGUUUGUUAAGUCGGAUGUGAAAUCCCCGGGCUCAACCUGGGAACUGCAUUCGAAACUGGCAGGCUAGAGUAUGGUAGAGGGAAGUGGAAUUCCGGGUGUAGCGGUGAAAUGCGUAGAUAUCCGGAGGAACAUCAGUGGCGAAGGCGGCUUCCUGGACCAAUACUGACGCUGAGGUGCGAAAGCGUGGGGAGCAAACAGGAUUAGAAACCCCGGUAGUCC